CCCCUGCUUCUUAUCGCCCCUUCAGAAUACCCCAGACGGGGACUUCAUAUUGGAUCGGCACCCACAUUUUGAGAACAUUGUAAUUGGAGCCGGGUUUUCAGGCCACGGGUUCAAGUUUGCACCGGUUGUGGGAAAGAUCCUGUGCGAACUGAGUCUGGGGGAGGCGCCUGCUUACAAUCUCGCCCCAUUUCGGCUGAGCCGCUUCCAGGCCCCACUUAAAGCUAGCUUGUGAACUCCCUCUGGCAGAGCCGAGGAGGGGCCAAACCUUCCCCAGGGCACCUCCACGACAGUCCACCUGAACUGGAUCCAUGGCUUGAGCUCUGCACGUCCAGGCUGCAAAGAUCCUGACAGCUGCCAGGAGAGGGAAGAGCUUCUGCUGGCCCCCAGGGAAGGGCUCCCUUGCGGUUGAGGAAGUGAAAAGCCCUGCCCAAGAGUGCUGUGCCAGGAGAGGGUCCCACACAGGUGCGCUUCCUAUUAAAGGUAUCUGCUAAACAGG